rnacentral:rRNA from 1 species
AAAUUUAUUUAAGGUUUAACCUGCCCAAUGAUUUAUUUAAUGGCCGCAGUAAUUUGACUGUGCGAAGGUAGCAUAAUCAUUAGUUUUUUAAUUGAAAGCUUGUAUGAAUGGUUGGACGAGAAGAUUUCUGUCUCUAUUUAAUAAUUAUAAUUUAAUUUUUUAGUUAAAAAGCUUAAAUUUAUAUAUUAGACGAGAAGACCCUAUAAAGCUUUAUAUUUUUGUAUUUAAUUUUAAUUAGUUUUUUUUAUUUUUAAUUAGAGAGAUUAUUUAAUUGGGGAAAUUAAAAGAUUUAUUUAAUUCUUUUUUAUUUAUUAUUUAUAAAUAAUUUUUUGAUCCAUUAUUAUUGAUUUUAAGAUUAAGUUACUUUAGGGAUAACAGCGUAAUUUUUUUUAAGAGUUCAUAUCGAAAGAAAAGUUUGCGACCUCGAUGUUGGAUU